AAAACUUUCAACAACGGAUCUCUUGGUUCUGGCAUCGAUGAAGAACGCAGCGAAAUGCGAUAAGUAAUGUGAAUUGCAGAAUUCAGUGAAUCAUCGAAUCUUUGAACGCACCUUGCGCCCCUUGGUAUUCCGGGGGGCAUGCCUGUUCGAGCGUCAUU
rnacentral:rRNA from 1 species